AGUGAACGCUGGCGGUAGGCCUAACACAUGCAAGUCGAACGGCAGCACAGUAAGAGCUUGCUCUUACGGGUGGCGAGUGGCGGACGGGUGAGGAAUACAUCGGAAUCUACUUUUUCGUGGGGGAUAACGUAGGGAAACUUACGCUAAUACCGCAUACGACCUACGGGUGAAAGCAGGGGAUCUUCGGACCUUGCGCGAUUGAAUGAGCCGAUGUCGGAUUAGCUAGUUGGCGGAGUAAAGGCCCACCAAGGCGACGAUCCGUAGCUGGUCUGAGAGGAUGAUCAGCCACACUGGAACUGAGACACGGUCCAGACUCCUACGGGGGGCAGCAGUGGGGAAUAUUGGACAAUGGGCGCAAGCCUGAUCCAGCCAUACCGCGUGGGUGAAGAAGGCCUUCGGGUUGUAAAGCCCUUUUGUUGGGAAAGAAAAGCAGCAGGUUAAUACCCCGCUGUUCUGACGGUACCCAAAGAAUAAGCACCGGCUAACUUCGUG
rnacentral:rRNA from 1 species